AGCAGCCGCGGUAAUUCCAGCUCCAAUAGCGUAUAUUAAAGUUGUUGCAGUUAAAAAGCUCGUAGUUGAAUUUCGGGGUCAGUAGGUCGGUCGUGCCACUGGUAUGAACUGGUUUUACUGAUUCCUCCCUCUUGAAGAACUGUAAUGCCAUUAAUUUGGUGUUGCAGGGAAUCAGGACUGUUACUUUGAAAAAAUUUAGAGUGUUUAAAGCAGGCUUUAGCUUGAAUACAUUAGCAUGGAAUAAUGAAAUAGGACGUUUGAUCCUAUUUUGUUGGUUCCUAGGAUUGACGUAAUGAUUAAUAGGGAUAGUUGGGGGCAUUAGUAUUCAAUUGUCAGAGGUGAAAUUCUUGGAUUUAUCGAAGACUAACUACUGCGAAAGCAUUUGCCAAGGAUGUUUUCAUUAAUCAAGAACGAAAGUUAGGGGAUCGAAGACGAUCAGAUACCGUCGUAGUCUUAACCAUAAACUAUGCCGACUAGGGAUCGGAUGAUGUUAAUUUUUUAAUGACUCAUUCGGCGCCUU
rnacentral:rRNA from 1 species